rnacentral:misc_RNA from 1 species
AAUAUGGAAGCCAAAAUAGUUGAUCCUUCGUCUGGAGAAGCCUUACCUCCUGGUCACAAAGGAGAACUUUGGCUGCGAGGUCCAGGAAUCAUGAAAGGUUAUGUUGGAGAUGAAAGGGCAACCGCUGAAACCUUGCAUCCUGAGGGAUGGCUAAAGACUGGUGACCUUUGUUACUUUGAUUCCGAUGGAUUUCUCUACAUCGUUGAUCGAUUAAAAGAAUU